rnacentral:tRNA from 1 species
GAGGAUAUAGCUCAGUGGUAGAGCCCUGUUUAGCACACACGAGGUUCUAGGUUCAACCCCCAGAACCUCC